UUUUCAGACAUGCAAAAUGAUCUUGGUGAAACUGGAACAACAGCGGAGUCAAGGUAAAAAGGAUUAAUGAUGCACAGCUUUAAUUUCACAGAAGGUCAGGACUUUUAUGACUGGUUUUAAUCAUUUAAUCAUUUUAGCAGGUAAGAAUCAAAAGCAAAAAGUGUUGCAUGAAGUGUGUCAGUGUUUUUCGAGGGAAACCAAUGAUGGAAAAAAAGCAUAAAAUUCUGUGUUACAUAUUUUUAUCUAAAAAUAUUUGCCCCUCCCCUUGUAAAAUCCCAAUGCAAAUCCAGGCUUUCGAGUGGCUGUACUUCUGUCUUCCCAACGACAAGUCUCAGUGUGAAGCAGCUGAGUUCUCAUCUUCAGUCUCAUCAAGAUGGACAAACUGUCUGUUCUGCUGACAGCGCUCUGUCUGCCCUGUUUGAAUGGCCAGGCUCUGGAGUCCAUUCCCUCCAGUUCAGUACUGAAAAAGCCUCAGGAAGCCCUCAGUCUGUCCUGCAGGGGAACUGGAUUUGUUUUCAGUAGCUAUGGAAUGCACUGGGUCAGACAACCUGCAGGAAAAGCACUGGAAUGGAUGGGGCUUAUUUACUACGAUGCAAGUAAAACCGUAUAUGCCAGCAGUUUGCAAGGACGUAUAGAAAUCACCAAAGAAAACAGCAACAGUAUUGUGCAUCUGAGACUGUCCAGCCUAAAGCUGGAGGACUCGGCUGUGUACUACUGUGCUAGACACACACUGGGUAAAGUGGGGCGAGAGGCUUUACAAAAACCUCAAAUAACCUAUGUUUGCAAUGAUCUGCAGGGGGCAGCAGCAGAUCAGAAACAGCAACUGUUUGGCAUCUCACUUACACAAACAAAGGAAAACACACAAUGUGAAGCAUCAGUUGAGGAUGUGGUUUGCGACUUCCUCAUUCUUUGGCUUCUUACCAGCCUGUGCUUUUCUACAGCAAUUUAGUGGUUAAUAAUAUUCCCAUCAGGCAUGAAUGAAACAUUUGUUCUGUUAUAAUUCAACUGCCACAAACUAUAACUGCUGAAUAAUGGUUCAAAGGUCACCAAUCAAACACAUAAUGAAUGAAAAAAAAAGAUGAUGAACACAAAACUGUUUGCAAGAUGUAACAAUUAGGUCUCAUCCAGGAGAGGGAAAACAUUUGGCUCUAUGUGAUUUUUUCUUUUUAAAUGUUUUGUUCACCUGUUGAGGGAAUAAAGCUGAUUUAACAAGCAUCUCCGACAGCCCAUCAAGAUCAGACUCAAACCUUCCCCUGCCAGGUCUAAAAACUCACAGAAGCUGCAGCACAGAUUAGAAGGACUGAGACAAAUAUGAUGAGUUAUGAAUUGGAUUGGAACCAGUCUAACUUCCUUUUAUACUCUGCCAAUUUCAUUCUCUAUGCAAAGUGAACCUCCUCACAGUCUGCUAUAAAGACUUGAUAUC